rnacentral:rRNA from 1 species
UACGAAGGGGGCUAGCGUUGCUCGGAAUCACUGGGCGUAAAGCGCACGUAGGCGGAUUGCUAAGUCAGGGGUGAAAUCCUGGAGCUCAACUCCAGAACUGCCUUUGAUACUGGCGAUCUCGAGUCCGGGAGAGGUGAGUGGAACUGCGAGUGUAGAGGUGAAAUGUGUUGAUAUUGGAAGGAACACCGGAGGCGAAAGCGGUGUACUGGGGCUGGUCUGACGCUGAGGCACGAAAGCCAGGGGAGCGAACGGG